rnacentral:rRNA from 2 species
GGCAGGGCGGCUGCUAUACAUGCAGUCGAGCGGAUUGAUGGGAGCUUGCUCCCUGAUAUCAGCGGCGGACGGGUGAGUAACACGUGGGUAACCUGCCUGUAAGACUGGGAUAACUCCGGGAAACCGGGGCUAAUACCGGAUAACUCAUUUCCUCGCAUGAGGAAAUGUUGAAAGGUGGCUUCGGCUACCACUUACAGAUGGACCCGCGGCGCAUUAACUAGUUGGUGAGGUAACGGCUCACCAAGGCAACGAUGCGUAACCGACCUGAGAGGGUGAUCGGCCACACUGGGACUGAAACACGGCCCAGACUCCUACGGGAGGCAGCAGUAGGGAAUCUUCCGCAAUGGACGAAAGUCUGACGGAACAACGCCGCGUGAGUGAUGAAGGUUUUCGGAUCGUAAAGCUCUGUUGUUAGGGAAGAACAAGUGCCGUUCGAAUAGGGCGGCACCUUGACGGUACCUAACCAGAAAGCCACGGCUAACUACGUGCCAGCAGCCGCGGUAAUACGUAAGUGGCAAGCGUUGUCCGGAAUUAUUGGGCGUAAAGCGCGCGCAGGUGGUUCCUUAAGUCUGAUGUGAAAGCCCACGGCUCAACCGUGGAGGGUCAUUGGAAACUGGGGAACUUGAGUGCAGAAGAAGAAAGUGGAAUUCCAAGUGUAACGGUGAAAUGCGUAGAUAUUUGGAGGAACACCAGUGGCGAAGGCGACUUUCUGGUCUGUAACUGACACUGAAGCGCGAAAGCGUGGGGAGCAAACAGGAUUAGAUACCCUGGUAGUCCACGCCGUAAACGAUGAGUGCUAAGUGUUAGGGGGUUUCCGCCCCUUAAUGCUGCAGCUUACGCAUUAAGCACUCCGCCUGGGGAGUACGGUCGCAAGACUGAAACUCAAAGGAAUGACGGGGCCGCACAAGCGGUGGAGCAUGUGGGUUUAAUUCGAGCAACGCGAAGAACUUAACCAGGUCUUGACAUCCUCUGACAACCCUAGAGAUAGGGCUUUUCCCCUUC